rnacentral:rRNA from 1 species
CAAUAGCGUAUAUUAAAGUUGUUGCGGUAAAAAAGCUCGUAGUUGGAUUUCUGUUGAGAGCGACCGGUCCAUACCAUGUAUGCGUAUCUGGCUUGCUCUCGGCAUCCUCUCGAUAGACGUUACUGCGCUUGAUUGCGUGGUGCGGAUCUCGGGACUUUUACUUUGAGGAAAUUAGAGUGUUCACGGCAGGCUUUCGCCAGAAUACAUUAGCAUGGAAUAAUACUAUAGGAUCUUGGUUCUAUUUUGUUGGUUUCUAGAAUUGAGAUAAUGAUUAAUAGGGACAAUUGGGGGCAUUCGUAUCAACACGUCAGAGGUGGAAUUCUUGGAUUGUGUUGCGACGAACUACUGCGAAAGCAUUUGCCAAGGAUGUUUUCAUCGA